UCCAUCCAACCUUGAGCUUAGAACCUUGCCAUUAACAUCAAUCUUGGUGGAAAGAGAAUCAAGUUGUCUUUCUAUCUAAAUCCUUCCCUUUUUUUGAUUCUCUAACAACUUCACAGGCAUGUUGGUGAUGUUUUCUUCACUUGAAUCUUGAGGAAAUUUAGCUGCUUGUUCUUCAUAGUCUAUAUCCCAAGGUUGAUAUCCCUCACCAUAUCCAUAUUGUCUUCUUUGACCAAAGUCUCCAUGUGGUUGAUACUCCAAUGAGGUGGAUGGUUCAUAAGCUCUUUCACAACAUGUUGAGCUUCUAGAUAUCAUCCUUUCUUGACUCUCCAAAAUAGCCUUUAUCAUUGAUUCUAAGUCAAGAGACAUGAUCUUCCUCUCUUGUGAAUGUACUUUGCAAAAGAACAAUCACUUGAAAGGGAAUUAGUCAUCAAACAAAGCAAAAGAAAACAUAAGAAAAUAAAGCUUAGACGAAUUUGAAAGGGGUUUGAAGGGGGUUUCAGAUGUACAAGAGAUAAAAAAACUCAAACAGCUGAUGUUCAUUCUGAAAACAUGAUCAGGCUUGGACAGUCCCUACGAAUGCUAAAGGCUAAUGUGUCAAAACUCAAGGUUCCAUUGAGAAAAAAAGAGCAAAGAAGUUUCAGCUGCUAUCUCACCUACCAGGUUUGAUAUUCUUGCAAACAUCUGAGCGAUGAAAUAAGCAAGAGGGAGGUGAAAUAAAAGCAGUCUCUGAGGAUGAUAGUUCAGAUGAGGAAGAAUUACCUCCUCAAAAAAUUGUAACCAACAAAAAGAAGCUUAAGUCAAAUCAUAAAGAAAAGAACAAAGGUCAAAAGCAAGCCGCUGCUCCAAAGAAAGCUCAACCUACUUUGCCUCACACUACUACAAAGAAAACCAGAGGAUAUAAUGAUCAUGACGACCCUUUUUGCGUAGGACACUCGCGGUUUCAACAAAAAGUGCAAACAUAAUGCAGUUCGAUCUUGGAUUAGAGGUAAUAAUCAUCUUCUUGGUUGUCUUCUUGUAACUCGUGUUAAAGAAGAUUUUGCUGAUUCUAUCAUUGAAUAUAUGUUUUGUGGAUGGAACUAUGAAACAAUUUAUGAGUACCAUCGGUUAGGAAGAAUAUGGUUACGUUGGUCUCCUUUGGUAUUGUUACAGUUUUGUACAAAAGUCUUCAGCUUAUGACGGUUCUUCUCUCCUUACAUCCAAGUGAAGAGUUCAUGAUUUCGUGCAUAUAUGCUUCUAAUUUUCAGAGGGACAUAACUUAGUUUCGGGAGGAAUUGCGAUCAAUGAAAGGUUUCUUUAGCACUAGCUCUGGUCCUUGGAUUGUAAUGGAUGAUUUCAAAGAGAUUUUGGCUUCAGAAGAUCAUUCUCAUGGAAUGGUUUCAAACAUUAAUCUCUGACUGUGAGCUCAUCGAUAUGGCUUUCAAAGGGCCCAAGUUCACUUGAUGGAAUCAUCAAGAUGAGGUUCCAAUAUGUAAAAUAAUUAAUUGUGUCCUGAUAAACGCUAAUUGGAGGGAUGUGGUUUUAUAAGCCUUAUUUUUACAAACAAGAUGAAGCAUGGAACUUGGUGCACAAAGGAAAAAUUUAUGGCUGAACAAGUUUAUCUUCAUAGUAACAAGAUUUAAGGUCGAUUCCUCAAUCCGAUGAAUUUGAUUAUUGAUGGUUUGUGUGUUCAAGUUUUUUUUAUUUAUAAAUUUGGUGAUAUAAUUCCAGCUGAAUUAUUGCCUCCUUUAUGUGAUAUUCAACACCAAGCUGAUCUUGUUCCUGGUGAGACAAUAGUCAUUCCUUAAUGAGCCUAUAAAACCGUGAAGAAUUACCGAUGUCAAUUGCCUCUGAUUGUGAUAAUCGGUCAAUUUGGAAACUACUUGGUACAAAUUUGGUUGUGAAUAUUUGCGUAAAAUUCUCCAUCCGUUGGACAAACAUAAGUGAUGAAUCAAUCAUUAGGAAAUUCUUUAUGCGGUUUGGUCAAUAGAACCUGAAGACUGUGGACUUCCAAUUGUGCAUUGUGAAUUACACAUAACCAUGCCUUCAACAGAAGUCUUGAAUUUUCACCUUUUUCAGGUUGUGUAUGGGGUUCAUUUAAGAUGUUCCCCUGAUAUUCGUGUUCAUGUUCAAGCAGAAGAUUUUGUGUUCAGCAUGCCAGUCAUACAUCAAACUUCACAAAAAUAAAUGAUAACAGUCGUCUAUAUUUUUUCUCUGUAAUAGAGUAACUCUAUUAUGGAAGCAGAUAAUUAGAUCAAAUUCAUCUCUAUAAUAUAGUUAUUCUACUUUAAAGUAAAAAAAAAAUAUAUAUAUAUAUAUUAAAAAAAUAAUGCAAAAACAUAUAGGGAAAAACAUAUAGAGAAUGUUCCAAGUAAGAGUUUAGCUGAGUUGAUGUAAAAAAAAGAGACUAUGAAUGUUUAAACACAGCCACAUAUUGUAUGUAUAUUAUUUAUAACCUCUACAGAUUGUGAACCUCGUAUAUAUCUUAGGAAAACAAUCAACUUCUUCAUUUUGACGUGAAAGUAUAGCAGUUAAUAAAAUUCGAAGUACUAUUCAUUUAUACGAGAGUUAAAACCUCAAUAGUCAAUAAGAUAUCAUUCAUAACAUCCAAAACUAAAACCACCACUAGUAACAUUCUAUCUUAACGAAAUAGUCUUAAAUCGCUAAGUGACAUAUCAUAAAUUCAUAAUUCUUUUGUUUCAGUUAAACACCAAUACCGCUAGUUAAUAUUUUAGGAGUGUAAAGAAAAUAUCAAAACGAUGAUUCAUUGUUUUUGCUAUUUUCUGCUGGUGAUUGGCCGAUGUUAGGAAAAUGUCAAAACGAUAAUCGUUUUCCGAUUUUAUUCUCUUUUCUGCUUUCGACGGACUAACGUGUAGAAAAUAUCAAAAUCGAUAUCGUUUUUAUUGACCUUGGUCUUUUCUACUGGUGGACCAAGAACAUGUCUUCACGAGUAGUACUCAAGUACUCAGACGACCACAAAUUUUCUGUUAUAUUUGGUUUUUGAAUUAUGUUUAGGCUAUGGGAGGAAAUUCGCAAUGAAACAAAUGUAGAGUAACAUGCAUGCAUGAGGUCCAUUUUUUGGCUCAAAAAUAAGAUCAGUUUAUAACCAUAGCAUUAUCCAUUUCUAAGUGUGAUGACUUCUUGGGUGCACUAUUCGUAGAUAUGCUUUAAAUCUUAUAACUUGAAUAUUCGAUACAGUAAAUAAUCAAAAGAUUAGUUUAGUCAAUUUUUAUUAGAUUCACAUUUGCAAAUUUAUUAACUUUAAAAUUUUUGAAUAAGAAUAUUAUACACAUAUACAUAUAUGAUUGAUGAGACAUACACAUUGCAGAAAACAAGGUGGUAAUAUUCACAAUUUCUGGCAUGCAUUUAUUUCACCCCAUACUAUAUUGUUUCUAUCCGGAAUCUGGAGUAACAACUAUCAGUCAAAUUAAAUUAAUUCAGUGAUAUCCAUUUAUGUAGCUUCAAGUUCUAAAAAUUAAAAUCAAUUAAACUGAUUUUAACAAUGACUUGUUCAACUGUUCAUACAUAAAAUGGAAAAAUUCGGUAAAAUUAAUAUCUUGUCGAUAAUUUUUUUUGGGUAAAUGUUAAGUAUUAUACUUUAUUUCAAUUUUUUUUUCUUUGAAUAAUAUGUAAAAUUUAUUCAGAAAAAAUAAUGUUUACAAUGUAGACUACUUGAUUAUGAGAAAAACAUAAAAGCACUAUUUCAGCCUAUCUAGUAGAGAAUCAGAGAUGUAAGACCCCUUCAUGACGUCUAAUUAUCUUGGAUAUCAGAAUGAGACACUGUUUUUGAAUCUGCCUAUCGAUCAUCUUUAUCAGCUGACUUGCUAGUAGCGGCUGAGACCCAUGACGAUGACCAUUCCUCUCACGCAUAGAGAGUGCAGAGUCACUUGAAAGCUGUAUCGCAAGAGGUACAUCGUUAGGUGCGGAAGAGUAUUGUCUGCCAAGAUUACUCGGAUAUCCUGCCAUUUGUUCGUGAAACGGGAUAGAAGAAGACCCUGGACCAGAGCCGACCAGACUUCUUGAGAGUAGCUACAUUCAAAAAAGAGAUGAUCUCUUGUUUCCAGGUGUUGUUGACAUAGAACACAACUCACAUCAAUACCCACAUUCUAGGAUAUCAUUCUGUCGCCAGUUGUUAACAUGUUGUGCAUUGCUAGCCACACCGUGAACGAGUACUUCGGCAUCGAGUGAGAGAACCAGACGAUCGAGUGCCAGGUUACAGUGGGAGCAAAACGUCUAAGAAGAGACCAUGUGCUUCUCAUGUUGAAUUUUGGUUUGAAGCUGUCCGAAGUAGACUUCCAUACCGAAAUAUCUUCUCCUACACCUAUAUUUUCUCGCUUUUUAUGUAACUCAUCCUCAAUCAUAGGAUACAAAUCAUAGCGGUGCCGUCGUGGCCGUCAAGAGAUAACAGACGCAACACUUGCAUUUAACCGAAUUCCCAUAUCAAUACAUCCCCUAACGCCCGUAAGAUCGAUUAAACGACCCAUAUCUGACCAUGCAUUAUUCCAGAAUGAGGUGCCUUGGCCAUCUUUCAAUUCCAUUCGAUGAAAAUCUUUAGCAUUGUCUCUAUAUUUUAGAAGUUCCUUCCAUACCCACAACCCAUUGUUGUUGUACUCUUGACCGUCCAAAAUGUCCCUCCUUUAAGCAAAUAUGUUUUCACCCAUUGAGCCCAUAGAGAAUGGGAGGAAGUGAUCCUCCAUAUUAGCUUAAGGAAACAAGUGAUAUUAGCUUCCUUUAACGGCCUAAGUCCAAGCCCCCCCCNNNNNNNNNNNNNNNNNNNNNNNNNNNNNNNNNNNNNNNNNNNNNNNNNNNNNNNNNNNNNNCCCCCCCCCUUAUGAUUUCAACAUGGUAACUGUAUCCCAUGCCACCUUCGCUCGCUUCACAUUGAGUGUUGGACCAGACCAGAGGAAUGCACAACACAAGCUAUCAAUCUCUUUCAGACAUUCUCCAGGGAGACAGAAAGAGGACAUGCAUAAGUUGGCAAUACUCAUAAGCAUGGACUUAAUAAGCUGCAGUCGUCCAGCCCUAGAUAAGAAUCUGUACGUCCAUAGACUAAUUCUUUUCUUCAUUUUCUCAAUGAGUGGUUGGUAAUCAUUCUUCCCCAUUCGCUUUGUUAAGAGUGGCAGUCCUAGAUAUCGAACCGGUAAGACACCCACAUCCAUGCUAAAACGUUCCUGAAGUUCUUGCUUUGUGUUAUCAUCACUUCCCCCACAAAAGAUCGUUGAUUUUUUCACACUCAUCAUUUAGCCUGAGAUAGUUUCGAACUUCUUGAAAACCUCCAGGAUACUCUCAAUGGAAUGAGAAUUACCAUCUGAGAACAAUAGAAUAUCAUCUGCAAAGCUCAAGUGUGUAAGAUUCAGGUUCUUACACUUUGUGUGAUAGCCCAUCAUGUGCUCUGCUGCUGAUUUAUCCAACAUCUUCGAUAAAACAUUCAUACUGAUGACAAACAGAUAUGAUGAGAGUGCGCAACCCUGACGAAGCCCUCUUUCACUCUUGAAGAACCCAGCCAGCUCUCCAUUCACUUGGACCGAGAAAGAAGCCGUAGUGACACAAAAAGAUAUCCAAUGUAGGAAUUUCUCCGGGAAUCCCAGCGCUGUCAAGGUGUUGAAUAGAAAGGACCACUGAACCGAAUCAAAUGCUUUUGAAAUAUCCCUUUAUUGCACAUCGACGAGAGGCUGAGUCUUUGUGAUAAUCCUCAACCAGUUCCGUUGCUAGGAGCAGAUUUUCUAUCAGUAGCCGAUCUUUUACAAAAGCGGAUUUAUUCAGACUAAUAAAUUCUGGGAAGAGCUUCUUUAACCGGUUUGCGAUAAUCUUUGAGAUCACUUUGUAGAUAACAUUACAGCAAGAGAUGGGACAGUAGUCUUUCAUCUUCUUUGCUCAUGUGACCUUCGGUAUGAGAGCCGUAAUGGUUGUAGUAACCCCUUUUGGUAGAAAACCCUUCUCAAAAAAACUUUUAACCGCAGUAACAAACUCAGAACCAAUGAUUGGCCACGCUAAUUAGUAGAACUCUACAGUGUAACCAUCAGGACAAGGAGACUUGUCGCUCAGCAUAGCAAAUAAAACUUUUGUUACCUCCUCAGCCGUGACCCCUUUGACUAGAUUCUCUUUGUCCAACGGUAAGGUAAGAGGGACUGAAGCACGUCUACAUCAAUACCUGAAUAGUUUGAUGGCUGAAACUGAAGAAAUUCUCGAAAGUGCCUCUCAGCUUCGAUUUUUAUUUGUUCAGGAGUCCUCACCACCUCUCCAUCUAAGCACUCUAUCUCCUUGAUCAAGUUCACUAUUUCUCUUUCUGUUUCUCCUCGAUGGAAAGCCGUAUUGUUCUUAUCACCCACAUCCAACCAAUGCAUCUUUGAUUUUUGUUUGAGAAAUUUCUCUUCAAGUCGAUAAACAAAGUCCCAACGCUUAUAUACUUCACUUUCAGACUGAAUGUUUGUUGUGUUGGAUUUCUCAUUGUUUCAUCCUGCUGUGUGCAUAACUCUUCAAAAUAAGCCUUUAACUUAACUGAGAGGUUCCCCAACCUUGUCUUUUCCAACUCCCGUAUUAUAGGCUUCAAGUUCUUUAGCUUCUUUGAGAAUAUUAAUAGAGACGAAGUCGAUGAAAAUAUUGGUUCAGUAUUUUCCCAAUACUUUCCAACACUAAGUAGAAGAUCUUCCAACUCUGUGAUCGCAUUAACAAAUUUGAAUGGUCGUCUCAGGCGCAAAAGUUCCGAGUGAAGCUGAAUGCGCCAGCGUAGAUGAUCCGAACAUCCACCAGUCUCAAACAUAGCAUAUGAUUGCGGAUAGGCAGCGAGCCAGUGGUCAUUAAACAUGACACGAUCAAUCUUCUUCAAGAUAAGACCCUCCGUUAGUUUAUUACACCAUGUAUAGUGUGGCCCAUGCAAUCCUAAGUCCGUCAGGGAACAAUAUCUCACAACAUCACCAAACUUCCUCAUUCCUUGAGUCACCAUAGGAGAGACUUCAUGCCACAAAUGAUCCUCCAUAUUAAGAGUUUCAUUGAAAUCUCCUGCAAUUAGCCAAGGCAUAUUGUGAAUGAUCAGGGAAUCUUGAUGAAGCUUUAAGUCCUUCCAUAACUCCCUCCUCUCUUCCAUAGUGUUCAAAGCAUAAACAUAAAAUAAAAGAAUUCCUCUCCACUUUCAAUCCAAAUUGAGACUGUGAACACUUACCUACUUUUAAAGAAAGGCGUUACUCUGAUGUCUGGUCUCCACACCAACCAUAUUCUUCCUAAUGCAUUAAACUCAUAAUUUGAGAUCAUACUCCAACCCCAAAAGGCUGUCGAAAGUAUUUCCUCACUCCUACCCUCCUUAACUCUUGUUUCCAGCAACCCUCCAAACAUGAAAUUCUUGUCCCUUCCCCAAUUCUGUACAACCAUGUGCUUCUUUUUUUAUUUAUUAAAACCUCGAAUAUUCCAGAAGAAACCCGACAUAAUUAACACUUAUUGGUAUUACGUUUUUUACCCAUAGUACUUGCCAAGCUGCGCGUACUUUGAAUCUUCGUGUCUCCACCAUUCUUAGCAUGAAAUUUUGCAUUGCGAGUAGAUGUUCUCCGAGUGUUAACUUCAUCAACAAUCUCUUGCUUUUGCUGUUCAUUACAACUUGUGAGUAUCAGAUUCCACAGGCACUUGUUUCUCCAAAAUCUCACCUUCCUCAUUCAUAAUGUUCUCUCUCAUCUCAAUCCUCUCCCAAGAUGGCAAAACGAGAAGGAGAACUUAUGAUGUUUGAAUCUGCAUUUAUUUUUGAGAUUGACCUCAUUUGUUUUCCUGGAGACACAUUCAACCAGUCAUCCUUUGUUUCUUUAUGUUCUUCAGUCUGUUGAUGUGCACCAGCAACAAUUCUCUCCUCGUGAGCUUGGUUCUGAUCUACCACAAUAUUUCCAUCUUCCAAUCUCUCUUCUCCAUCGCUAACCAUUCUCUCCUUUUCCACUCCAUGAGUUAUCUCUGGCUCAACUGCUAGUGGUGCAGAGCUAGAUGCAUCACUUUCCUGAUCAAUUUGUUUCGAAGAGGACUCACUGCCUUCUACCUCCUUGGAAGGACCCUCUUACAUCUCUUUCCUCUGUAAUAUACAUAUGCUUUUUCCUUUUCCACUACAUUUUGCUCCUACAUGCCCCCAUUUAGAACAUAAACAGCACUUGGAUGGUACCAAGGAUACACGAACUGGACAUCAGCCACCACUCCUAGUUUUGAUUUAAAGUGAUGAGACUUCGGCAGUUCUUUAGUCAUAUUUGCUUCUAUAAAGACCUUUGCCUCCUCCAAAACUCUUGCUAAGUAGAGUGUCCGGGUGUAGCCUCUUAGGCUUUCCAACUGCACUGGCGAUGAACCCCAAGCCCUUCCAUGAAAACAUCCUUCUCGGCAUUUUCUUUAACGUUACCAAAUCAGUAUUGUAGUGAUCUCGACUUACUCCUCUUCCUCCUCCUCUGGAGACCAUUUUAACACUACCAUCGGGAUAUUAGCAAUGUUCCACAUUCCAUGACGUAAGAUCCGUGCUCGCGUGUUAGCGUCUUUGAUUCUGAACUUGACUAUAGUCUUGUCCACUUCAAAAACCUCGAUUCGUAUAGCUUGGCUUCCCAGAGGCCAGAUUUUAUUCACUAUAGCGUGAAUUUUUGCAACAUGAGGAGCAGUGCCCAUGAACUUUUCUUCGAUUAGAUCAUCCCAUAGAGGCACUGUGUUCUGGAUUAUACCAUCCGAAACUCCACAAAAUCCUUUCCCUCCUCUGAAACAUAAGCCAACACAUGUAUCGCCAAAACUGGUCCCGACUGAGCCACCCCUACCCACGAAGACGUCUUCCCUUCCUUAACUGUGUUAUUUUCCCUUGCUGUGUCCCCCAAAGGCGAAAACUCGGUUAGAUCCGUCAUCGGCCCGAACAGAGAUUACGUGUGUUAGAACCCAAAACCCUAGUCGCACUUCAAAUCAGACUUGCCACGUCAGCCCACUUUCUUUGGCUUGUUUUUUCCUUUCAGCUUUCAAAUUUUGACAGAACUCAGAUAAAAUAAUUAGACUAAACAACCCACCUAAUCAGCAACAAAGAACCAAGAAAUGAAAGAAAUGAAUCAAGACAUAGAACCGAAAGCCAAAAGAACACUGACACCUGAAAAGCAUAAAUGAAAUGAACAUAUGAUCGCCACAAGCUACCGAAAUAAUGGCACCCUAAAAUUCUAAAGCGAUGACUCCCGCAAUCAGUGCCAUCUUAAAUAUAAAUUACAGUCUAUUUCUUGCCUCUUUCUUAUAUUUUUCGUUUUUGGUUUGAAAUUCAGAUUUACUGUUUUUUUUUAAAUAAUAUGCCCUUUUACAUGUGGGUUCUCUCGAAGAGUGCAAUGCUGGCGCUUGUACUUACGCCGGCAUUGGUUACAUGGGUCAUCAUUUUAUAGUCUGAGGGUGAAUUGUUUCGGUAGCUUGUAAGUCGUAAUGAUCAAAUGUUCAUUUUAUUUAUGUUUUCUUUAGGUGCGUCAUUGCUCUGCUCAUUUGUUUCUCAUGUCUCGGUUCUUUGUCGUUGUUUAGGUUUCUUUGUUAGUUUGAAUUCUAUAUUUCCGCUAGUGUUCUAUCUAAUUCAGUCCAAAUUUGAAAUAUGGUAUCACAUUAAAAAAGUUAUAACUUGUAUUAAUUAAAAAAAUUUCAUGCUGAAUUCUCACGUAAUUAAAAUGCUAAUUUUGCUUAUGUAGCAGCUUGAGAAUCAAUUAAGAAUUUUGUUAGUCCAUAAUUAAAUUGCUAAGAAAUGUUAUAUUAUAUAGUAUGUUCAUUAUGGACCAUUCAUUUAUCAAAUUGAAUUCUUUCCUUAAUUAAAACCUACAAAAGUACCUAAUGUAAUUAAGAUAUAUAUGACAAUUAAUUAUUCUAAAUAAUAAAAAUUUGCUAACAAUCUGUAUAUUUUUUAUCAUUUUUGUUUAAUUAUUUAUUAUUAAAAUAAAUUACAUAAUUACUAAUAAAAAUUACGAUUUUUUUUUUUUGUAUAUGUUGUAUUUUGAAUUUUUCAAAACGAGUAUAAAUUACUAAAAUUGUUAAAAGUCUCACAUAAACUUUUGUGAUCAAGGUUUGAUUUUUUUUCUAUAAUAAGGUACAAUGAUUAUAAAAUCAUAUGAAUAAAUAAUUUUAUUUUAAUAUAUAUACAUAUUUCAUAUCUUUUAAAUUAAACUAUAUACAUCAUAUGCAAAUACAUACUUAUAUUUUGAUAUCUACGUUGAACAUAUAUUGAAAAGUUAAUAUUUUAAUUUUGAAAUCUUCAUUUUUUUUUAAAUAAUUAUAAAUUAUUGUAACCACUAAAAAUUCCACAUUAAAAACAAAAAUCGUUGGUGUAAAGUUUUGUUACACAAAUAUGCAAAUAAUCAUAAAAUCAUAUGAGUAGAAACCUCAUUUAAUAAAUAUCCAUAUUAAAAGUAUACUAUAUAUCUAUGUUAAUAUCAUUUAAAUUUAAUUAUAUAUAUAUAUAUAUAUCAUAUACGAUAAAUAAAAUUGAUUAGUUUGAUUUAUUUACCCUAAAAUGAUUGCGAAUAAACAAGAGCGAUUGUUUGAUUUAUAUGUGCACGCCAAUUUAUUACAUAAUAGUAACUGAUUUCUUAGUUAUUUAAUAUAUAAUUAUUAUUUUAUUAUUUCAUAAUAUGCAAAAAACAUAAAAUAAGUAAUAAAUAUAAAAUAUUUAUUCUGCUCAAUACGCGGAUCAACCUAAGUACAUAUCUCUUUAAUAAUUUUAAAUCUUAAACAUUUUCUAGCCAAAACAAAAUUACGAAAUGAGAAUAAACUCAAAAAUCAAUAUUUAUAUCGAGCAAUAAACAAAAUGAAAAAAACGACACAAAAAUGAGAAAAAUAUUGAAGAUAUUUAGGAUUGGCAUGUGAACGUAAACUUCCCAUAACCAUAAUUAACAUUUAAAUUGCUAAAUCAUUAUAUAAAACCAAGCUUUCAUAUUUUCAUUGUAACCAAAUUGUAGGCAUGAGAUUCUCCGGCCUAAACGUUAGGUUCUUAUGCGAUAAAUGAUUUUUUGACCUAAAAUAUUUUUAAAAUAGAAUCAGCUCAUCAGUAAACAAAUUAUGUAAUUAACAAAAAAAAAUUAAAAAUUAUUUAAGGGCCAAUAAUAUUUAUUCGAUCAAGAAUAUACAUUUUAUUUUCCCAUACAAUAUUUCUUAAACAAUUUUCAUAUAAAUUUGUCAUACGUAAGGCGCAUGUCUUAUCCUAGUAUACUUAAUAUAUUACCAAAAAAAUGUAUCCACAAAAUAUUAAUUUUACAGAAUUUUCCCAUUUUAUGUCUGAUCUGUUUCAGUUUGAUUUUCCUUUAAAAUUUUAAGGCUACAAAAAUGGAUAUCACUGAUGAUUAUUUAGGAGACUAGAUUCCAUGUUCUGUGCCGUGCUGCCGUGCUGGAAAUGCUUUUAGUACUAUAACCCAUGUUCAAAAAUGCGGCCUAGUUAGCCGACUUCGCACCGGUUAAACACAACUCGGUAGUGCUCCGCUGCGAUUUUGUGUUAUUCGGGUAAAAAUUCGGAUUUCAAAAAAAGUAUACAUAUUUUGACAUUUUCCGGUUCGAAAUCUGUCCUUUAAGCAUAUAUCUAUCAUCUAUAUUAUUAAAACUGAAGUACCUUUUGGUACUGUUUGGAAACUUAGAUAGUAGAUCAAAUGAAAGUUGUUUGAAAAAAAAGAUAGCAUAUUAAAUAUUUUUUUUUUAUAUAUUUAGUCACUGUAUUUCUUUCUCAUUUACAGAUUCUGUCGUUUGGAAACUUGGAUAAAAGAUUAAAUGAGAAUUGUUUGGAAACACGAAUAGCAAAUUAAAUAUUUUUUCUUAUUUACACAUGUAGCUAUUGCAUUUCUUUCUUAUUUACAAAUCUGUCACCUCACUUAAAAUCAAAAUUUUAAAAUUAAUUAAUUACAAUGAAUUCUUUUUUUUUUUGCUGAAAAUAAAAAACACAAACUGUAAUAUAUAGUAUAUAUUAAUCUGAUACAAUACAAUUUUCAAGAAAACCAAAUAUCAUAAAAUUAAUAAUAAUUUAUAAAACCUACUGUAAAAAAUUAAAUCAAUUUAAAUAAAUAAACAAAAAAAUAAAUAGGUUAAUAUAUGAAUAUUACAAUUACAUCAAAUUGCAUCAAGUUAUAAAAUUAUAAAUAUAAUAUUGUGUACAAAUAAAAAUUAUCAAACAUCUAUAUUAUAAUAUAUUAUAUUAUACUCUAAAUAUAUUUUACAAAACAUAAAAAUAUAAAUGGACAUUUUAUAAAAUCAAUGGUUUAUAAAUUUACAUUGAAUGCAAAUUAAAUCCAAAACCUGCGCGGAACCGCAUGUCAAGAUCUAGUAUUUCAUUGUUACCGAUCAAGAAUCGAAGAUAAUCGUCAAAGAAAAAAAUUAUUUAUGUUAAAAAUAAAUAAAAAAAACGGUUGUCGUUGGAGAAGAAACAAGUCGAGAGGAAGAUGAUGUAACUAAAAUUACAAAUGUGUCCUUUAUUAAUGAAAUGUUAAAAAAGCAAAAAAUUGACAUUUUUUUUUAAUCGAACCCGGGAGAAGAGAACUAGUUAUUAUAAGAACUUGCAUGCAUGAAAUUCUACGCGUACAGUUUUACUCGUUGACUUUAGAUAUUAUAGACUAAGAGCAUUGAUUAAUUAGAGGUUUUUACGAUGAAGUUCUUAGCAGAAUUUAAGAAACUGUUUCUUAACUUUUUAGUAAAAAAAGUUAAGAAUCGAUUUUUAAAUAAAGACUUUAAGAACCAGUACUUAGUUUUUUAGUUAAAAAUUAAAAAACAGAUUCUCAAUUUGUGUUAAUAACCUCACUCUAAAAACCCUCGGUAAAUCAUGGUGUAAACAUCGUAUAGCGGUACGAUGCAAGUUUAGACGAUGCAAGUCCUUACGGUACAUUGUAAAACUAUACCGACAUUGUCAAUGUUUAGUCUACGCGUACAGUUAUAACUCACUAGUUAUUUAUAUUAUUAUUAUUAAUUUAUUAUUAUGGCGGAGUCACAUGCAUGCAUGAGAUUCAUUCAUUCAUAAUGUCACACUCACACACUAUCCAUUCCCCUUUGUUUUGGUUAUAAAGAAAAUAAAAUUCUUAAAGUGACAAACUUCACGGGUUACACUGUGUUACUACCCGCCAAAUUCUACCCGCCACCUUUUAAAUUUCAUUUUAGUUUCUUCACCGUCAAUAAAUCGUCAGGACAAAAUAAUUACUUUUAAAUUUCAUUGUUUUAUCUUACCAAGUGUGGUCAGUAUCUCUAAUAAUUUUGAAGAAUAUUUAGAAAACUAAUUAGAUAAUAAUUUUCGACGAUGUUAAUAUAUAUGUCGAAGUAAAUAAGGUAAAAAAAAUGGUUCAUUUAUGGUUUUAUAUGGCAUUAAAAUUUUGAAUAUUGACUAUCAGAUUCAGUAUAUCAUUUGGAAUAAAAACAAAAGUAACCUAAAACUUAUAGAUUGAUCUUCUUUUCAGAAUGCAUAUGCAUUUACAGAUUUAGUAUCCUUUGAAUUAUUAAUUAUCAAAAAAAAAUUGUAUCCUUUGAAUUAUCGAUUAUACUAGCCAGAAUUACAUGUUGACCUAUUUACAUUAUAUUUGAAAUCCCAUAGUGAAUACGCGCACCAUGACUAGUAUUACUAUUAUUGUAUUAUAUUAUAUUUACAUUAAUAUGUAAUAUGAAAAAACUAUAAAGAGAAUCAUCAGUCACGGACAUCAUGACUCAAUCACUCUAAGCUAGAUACGUAAUAUCUUUCAGAAGCGUGGGACUAAAAUAUUACAAGAAAUAGCUUCGAACAAUUCAAUGAAGUUAGCAUGGUGAAAAAUAAUCUUGAACCCAACAGACUACUUUUGGUCGGGACCCCAAUAAGUUGGAACUUUGUUCAAGAUUUAUCAACCUAUGUAUAUGAAUAGUUGAAUAGUGUAUAUCCCCAAGAACUGAUUCUCUUUUUCCUAUUUGUAUAGGCAAAGACAUAAACUAGCACCCGAGAGAACUUGCCUAUGAUCCUCUCUCAAAAAAAAAAGUGGACCUAACAAGGAAGGAACAAGACAAAAAGAGUGAGAACGAUGUUUUUUUAUCAUAUCUUGUAACUAUAUAGAGAAUUGGAGGUGUCUCGCAAGUCAAGUAGUAAUCACAAAACCCCUUCAUAAAUUGUCUACCCACUGGGCACUACACUACAACAACCUUUGGUUGCUCCCAUUGUUUUCACCUAUAAAUUACAAAUAUGACUAUGCCUAAGGUUCUUAAAAAACUUUUUAAUGCCAAUAAUAUAACGAAGGUUUAAGUUAGUGGCUUCUAAAACGCUUAGACUAUGCAUUCUCUAAUAUUGAUUAUAGACUAAACAUUGACAAUGUCGGUACAGUUUUACGCGUUGGCUUUAGAUAUUAUAAGGACUUGAUCUGAGGUUUAGUUAAAAUAAGGUGCAAGACAUAAGACAUGAUUCUUAAAAGGUACUAGCUUAAGAUCCGUGCAAUUGCGCGGAGUGAAUGUUAUAUAUAAAACUAAUUUUAAUCUAUUAUUAUUUAUAUUUAUUUACGUAUUAUGUAUAUAAUUUAAUUAGAGUAAAUACAUAAAUCAAAACAAUACAUCUUGUUUAUUUAUGAUAUUUUUUUGGUAAAUAAAUCAAAACAAUCAUUUUAUUUAUUUUAUAUGGUAUAUAACUAAAUUUCAAUAACAUGGACAUAGAUAUAUAAUAUAUUUUAAUAUAAAUAUUUAUUAUUGAGAAUUCAUACUCAUAUGAUAAACACAAAAUUUCUAAUAUGCAAUUUUUAAUGCAAAUUUCAAAAUUAAAAUAUUAAGGUCCAAUACUUUUUCAGUACAAAUUUAGAAAUUAUCAUAUUUAAGUAUUACUCCAUGUUAUAUAGUUUAAUUUUAAACUAUAUUAUUAUAUAACAUGAAUGUCUAGUAAAUGUGACUUCAUAUUCAUACGAUUUAUAAUCAUUUGUAUCUUGUUAUUACCAAAAAAAGUUAAACCAUUGAUCACAAAAUUUCAGUGUGAGACAUUUAACAUUUUAAUAAUUUAUAAUCGUUUUAAAAAUUCAAAAUAUAACAUAUAAUUUUUUUAUUUUUUAUUAUAUGGUUAAUGUUGUUGUUUAAUAUCUUUUAAUAAUAUAAAAUUAAACAAAAAAAAAGCUAAGAUACAAAAUUUAUCAUCAAAAAUUUAUUAUUCAUAAUCAUUAAUUAUCAUAUAUACGUUAAUCAUAUUAGGCAAUUCUGUAAUUUUUAUUUAAGGAAAGUGCGAGAAUAUUAUUUUGUACAUUAUUUAUAAAUUUAAUAGUUAGUUUAAUAAAAAGUAUAAUAUAAGUUAAGAUAGAUCAACCUAUUUUUCCAAGAAUUCUAAAAUUCAUUUUUAUGUUGACACAUGAAUACAAAAUAUUAUCGUAAUGUUUCUGAUUAAUAUAUAAGAGAUUAUUGGCAUGCUUCACGAAGCUAAUAUUUGACCAAAUAUGCAAAUAUAAACUAUGGAAAUUUCUUAGGAACCUACUAGUAAUGAAAAUCAUUGGAGAUCGUACUAUCGUUAUUCGUUACUGAUUCUUUAGCAAAAAUAAACAUAUAAGAAAUGAUUAUGCGAGUUUAUGUUGCUGAGUGCUACAGUGAUAGUUUUGUUUUUCUAAUUAAGCAUUUUCAUGUUUUUGUUUUUCUAAACAUUUUCAUGUUGUUUGUUUUUCUAUACAUUUCCAUGUUACGGUAUAUAUAGGCUGAGCAUGUCCAAGCUAUUCAAAAUUAACCGAAUCGUGGAACAGAUCCAGUAACUAGCUAAUUCAUAGUUCUAUUAAAAUUGAGGUUAACAAAGGUAUAUUCAACCAGCGUAGCUGGCCCAGAUGGUCUUGUGGGGAAAUAAAAAACCCUAAUACGGAACACGCGGGUUCGAUGCGCUGGCCAGACAAUUGGGGUAUCUAAUUCCCUAUAGUACCAAAUGGUCCGCCUCGCGCCGAGGGGUUGGCCCCUGGAGAUGGAAGUCCCUCCAGGUUAAACAAAAAAAAAAAAAAAAAAAAAAAAAAGGAAAAAAAAAAAAAAAAAAAAAAAAAAAAAAAAAAAAAAAAAAAAAAAAAAAAAAAAAAAAAAAAAAAAAAAAAAAAAAAAAAAAAAAAAAAAAAAAAAAAAAAAAAAAAAAAAAAAAAAAAAAAAAAAAAAAAAAAAAAAAAAAAAAAAAAAAAAAAAAAAAAAAAAAAAAAAAAAAAAAAGGUAUAUUCGUAUAUAAAAGAAAAAAAAAACAAAUAAAUGAAUAGUAACAAAACUAGAGAGAGAACAGAAAGGAAUAUAGAUUUUGCCGAAACUUUUCUAAGGGCAGUGUCUGAGUAUUUUUUUGGUAAUCAUGUUAAAUCAGUGUCUGAGUUCUUCAAACCUUCUCAGACUUGUCGUUUGUAAUUAAUCAUUAUCUGGCCGAUUAAAAAUGAUUAAUGUAUUUGAUUUCGUGUUUUCCGAAUGCUUUCACACUAACCAAUUACAUUUUCACAAAAUUUACAAAUAGGUUCGUAGAGCAUGCAGCCAUGUGAUGAGCACAAAAGUGAAAAAUUCUUUAGCAGUUUACUUAUAUCAACGUAAAUAGCGAAUGUUAUUCCUAAAUUUCCCUGAAAAGAUAAGAAUCUACGACUACAAAGAUACGCCAAUUUAGGAAAGUAUGACAAACCCUUUUAUUUUCGUUUUGGAACUAAGUGACCUUAUACCUGCUUAAUAAAAUCUAAUAUUCCAAUCAUCUAAUCACAGUUUGGUGCUUACACUAUUAAAAAUAAACAAAUAUCGGCGAAUACUUUUUCUAUAAAAGGUGCACACUAUCAUAUACCUACUUACUAAGUCGUUUACACAACCCAAACCCUCAUUCUAAGAGAUGGGGUCUCACACACAAAACCUCUCUUUUCUUAUCCUCCUUCUCCUAGGCUUCCUUGCUGUCUCAUUCGCUUGCGAAUGUAGCCCUCCUAAACCAUCACCGAGUCCUCACAAACCGCCUAAACAUCCCGUCAAACCGCCUAAACCACCAGCAGCCAAACCACCAAAACCACCGGCAGUAAAACCUCCUAAACCCCCCACCAAACCUCCCACCCUUAAACCACACCCCCACCCUAAACCUCCCACUAAACCCCCCACCGUUAGACCACACCCACACCCUAAGCCCCCUACCAAACCUCAUCCCAUCCCAAAACCGCCCACCGUUAAACCACCACCCUCCACCCCCAAACCGCCCACAAAACCACCCACCGUUAAACCGCCUCCAUCCACCCCUAAGCCGCCCACCAAACCACCCACCGUCAAACCACCACCCUCCACCCCAAAACCGCCCACCAAGCCACCCACCGUCAAACCACCUCCGUCCACCCCUAAACCACCUACCCACAAGCCACCAAUAGUGUGCCCACCGCCAACACCAACACCAACCCCACCUGUUGUAACGCCACCAACACCACCAACACCAACUCCACCAGUCGUUACGCCACCAACACCAGCUCCACCUGUUGUAACGCCACCAACACCAACACCACCGGUCGUAACGCCACCGACACCAACCCCUCCUGUCGUAACACCACCAACACCACCGGUCGUAACGCCACCGACACCAACCCCUCCUGUCGUAACACCACCAACACCACCGGUCGUAACGCCACCGACACCAACCCCUCCUGUCGUAACACCUCCAACACCACCGGUCGUAACGCCACCGACACCAACCCCUCCUGUCGUAAUACCUCCAACACCACCGGUCGUAACGCCACCGACACCAACCCCUCCUGUCGUAACACCACCAACACCAACUCCACCUAAGCCAGAAACAUGCCCAAUCGACACGUUGAAGCUAGGCGCUUGUGUAGACGUUCUUGGAGGUUUGAUUCACAUCGGGCUUGGUGGAAGUAGCGCCAAGAAAGAGAGUUGUCCGGUUUUGGGAGGCUUAG
rnacentral:lncRNA from 1 species